AUGGGAGGGCGGGCCCUGGUGUCCCGCCACCCGCAGUGUGCAGACCAGUCAGGCUGCAGGGUGGGCCUCAGCCUUGCUUUCUCCAGUUCCGCAUCCAGAACUUCUCACGCCGCCCGGAGCUGGAAAAGAGACCUUCCCCGGGGUCUCGUGACCAGAAGUGAGCCCCACGUCCAUCUGUCGCCCCUCGAAGGAGAUCCUGGGCUGCCGUGGACGCUGACGGCCGACCGCGGUGACUGCCACCGCGUCUGUCCGCAAGCACCGCUCGGCACCACCUCCCGCCAGGCUUUGCAGGAACCGGGGCCCAGGAAGCAGACAGACCUGGUCUCUGCCUGGAGGGGCCCACAGGCAGGUUCUGGAAAGGUCUCCCCUGAUGAGAAGAAGCUCGGGGUGGGGGUGGGAGGUGAGGAGGGUGUGAUAACAUCCGGGAGAGAGACGAGGCCCAGGCCCGGCCCCGAGGCGGGGGCCUGGGUGGUGAGCCACGAGGAGGUGCAGAAGCGGGACGGAGACACCCGAGUGCCCCUCAGGAAGGGGAACUCUCUUGGGGCCCCCCUUACUCACCACCUCCCGUCGCCUGGAGCCCGGGAAACAGCAGCAGCAUCGCUGCGCGGCGCCACCGAGGGGAUCAGUGCCUGCGGGACCCGGCGGUUCACACGCUCGCGGACCACAUCCUACAGGACGAGCUGUGCCAUCCGCGAGGUCAGCGCCCCCGGCACCCCGAGCCCCCCGUGCCUGCACCCAGGUCCCCGCCAGGGGCACGGAGUGGCAGCGAGCCCUAGGCCGGCGAGGAAUUAAGGAUUUCAAGGGGCUCCUGGAUGUUGCAGCCGGUGAAGCGUCCGACUACUGGUUUCGGCUCAGGUCCUGAUCUUGGGGUCCUGAGGUCGAGCCCCAAAUCUGGCUCCGAGCUUGAUGCAGGCCUGCAUGAGAUUUGUUCCCUCGCCCUCUGCCUCUGCCUCUGCCUCUGCCCCUCCCACCCGCUCGCACGCACCGCCUCUCUGUCUCUCUCUCAAAUAAAUAAAUAGACCUUAAAAAAAAAAGUUUCA
rnacentral:lncRNA from 12 species